rnacentral:tRNA from 1 species
UGUAUAUUAGUGUAAAUAGCACAGAAAGCUUUGAUUUUUCAAGAAAAGGUGGAAUUCCCUUGUAUAUAA